rnacentral:rRNA from 1 species
AUUGAACGCUGGCGGCAUGCCUUACACAUGCAAGUCGAACGGUAACAGGUCUUCGGAUGCUGACGAGUGGCGAACGGGUGAGUAAUACAUCGGAACGUGCCCGAUCGUGGGGGAUAACGGAGCGAAAGCUUUGCUAAUACCGCAUACGAUCUACGGAUGAAAGCGGGGGAUCUUCGGACCUCGCGCGGACGGAGCGGCCGAUGGCAGAUUAGGUAGUUGGUGGGAUAAAAGCUUACCAAGCCGACGAUCUGUAGCUGGUCUGAGAGGAUGAUCAGCCACACUGGGACUGAGACACGGCCCAGACUCCUACGGGAGGCAGCAGUGGGGAAUUUUGGACAAUGGGGGCAACCCUGAUCCAGCCAUGCCGCGUGCAGGAUGAAGGCCUUCGGGUUGUAAACUGCUUUGUACGGAACGAAAGACUCUGGUUAAUACCUGGGUCCAUGACGGUACCGUAAGAAUAAGCACCGGC